GGCGCUGUCCCGUAGUGGUUAUCGGGUUACCUUGCUAUGUGUCAUGACAGGUAAUGUGCUUUGCACUCGAGAGUUCGAAUCUCUCCAGCGUCG
rnacentral:tRNA from 1 species